UACGUAGGGCGCAAGCGUUGUCCGGAAUUAUUGGGCGUAAAGAGCUCGUAGGCGGUCUGUCGCGUCGGAUGUGAAAGCCCGGGGCUUAACCCCGGGUCUGCAUUCGAUACGGGCAGACUAGAGUGUGGUAGGGGAGAUCGGAAUUCCUGGUGUAGCGGUGAAAUGCGCAGAUAUCAGGAAGAACACCCGUGGCGAAGGCGGCUCUCUGGGACGGUACUGACGCUGAGACGCGAAAGCGUGGGGAGCGAACAGG
rnacentral:rRNA from 1 species